rnacentral:tRNA from 1 species
GGGGGUAUAGCUCAAUGGUAGAGCAUUCGACUGCAGAUUGAGAAGUCCUUGGUUCAAUCCCGGGUAUCCCCU